CCUGACCACCAUCGGCUAUGGGGACAAGUACCCACAGACCUGGAAUGGGCGACUGCUGGCUGCAACCUUCACACUCAUUGGUGUUUCCUUCUUUGCUCUCCCUGCCGGCAUUUUAGGUUCGGGGUUUGCUCUGAAGGUUCAGGAGCAGCAUCGGCAAAAGCACUUUGAGAAGAGACGCAACCCAGCAGCAGGCCUGAUUCAGGCUGCCUGGAGGUUCUAUGCUACCAACCUGUCCCGCACAGACCUGCACUCCACAUGGCAGUACUACGAGCGCACCGUCACAGUCCCCAU